rnacentral:rRNA from 1 species
UCAAGUAAUUAAGUGCAUGUGGUGGAUGCCUUGGCAGUCAGAGGCGAUGAAAGACGUGAUAGCCUGCGAAAAGCUCCGGGGAGGCGGCAAAUAUCCUUUGAUCCGGAGAUGUCUGAAUGGGGAACCCACCUACUUUAGGUAGGUAUUGCAACAUGAAUACAUAGUGUUGCAAGGCGAACGAGGGGAAGUGAAACAUCUCAGUACCCUUAGGAAAAGAAAUCAAUUGAGAUUCCCUCAGUAGCGGCGAGCGAACGGGGAUCAGCCCAUUAAGUUAUGUGUUUUAGUGGAACGCUCUGGGAAGUGCGAACGUAGAGGGUGAUAUUCCCGUACACGAAAGGGCACACAUAAUGAUGACGAGUAGGGCGAGGCACGUGAAACCUUGUCUGAAUAUGGGGGGACCAUCCUCCAAGGCUAAAUACUCCUGACUGACCGAUAGUGAACCAGUACCGUGAGGGAAAGGCGAAAAGAACCCCUGUGAGGGGAGUGAAAUAGAUCCUGAAACCGCAUGCAUACAAGCAGUGGGAGCACCUUCGUGGUGUGACUGCGUACCUUUUGUAUAAUGGGUCAGCGACUUAUAUUCAGUAGCGAGGUUAACCGUAUAGGGGAGCCGUAGAGAAAUCGAGUCUUAAUAGGGCGUUUAGUUGCUGGGUAUAGACCCGAAACCAGGCGAUCUAUCCAUGAGCAGGUUGAAGGUUGGGUAACACUAACUGGAGGACCGAACCCACUGUCGUUGAAAAGCCAGGGGAUGACUUGUGGAUAGGUGAAAGGCUAAUCAAGCCUGGUGAUAGCUGGUUCUCCCCGAAAGCUAUUUAGGUAGCGCCUCGGACGAAUACCAUAGGGGGUAGAGCACUGUUUCGGCUAGGGGGUCAUCCCGACUUACCAAACCGAUGCAAACUCCGAAUACCUAUGAGUACUAUCCGGGAGACAGACUGCGGGUGCUAACGUCCGUAGUCAAGAGGAAAACAAUCCAGACCGCCAGCUAAGGCCCCAAAAUCAUAGUUAAGUGGGAAACGAUGUGGGAAGGCAUAGACAGCUAGGAGGUUGGCUUAGAAGCAGCCACCCUUUAAAGAAAGCGUAAUAGCUCACUAGUCGAGUCGGCCUGCGCGGAAGAUGUAACGGGGCUAAAACUAUGUGCCGAAGCUGCGGAUGUAUACUUUGUAUACGUGGUAGGGGAGCGUUCUGUAAGCCGAUGAAGGUGUGUUGAGAAGCAUGCUGGAGGUAUCAGAAGUGCGAAUGCUGACGUGAGUAACGACAAAACGGGUGAAAAACCCGUUCGCCGAAAGACCAAGGGUUCCAGUCCAACGUUAAUCGGGCUGGGUGAGUCGACCCUAAGGCGAGGCCGAAAGGCGUAGUCGAUGGGAAAAUGGUUAAUAUUCCAUUACUUCUGUGUAAUGCGAUGAGAGGACGGAGAAGGCUAAAUCAGCCUGGCGUUGGUUGUCCAGGUGAAAGGAUGUAGGCAUGUAUCUUAGGCAAAUCCGGGGUACUCUAUGCUGAGAUCUGAUAGCAAGCUGUACUUGUACAGCGAAGUGGUUGAUGCCAUGCUUCCAGGAAAAGUCUCUAAGCUUCAGUUACACAGGAAUCGUACCCGAAACCGACACAGGUGGUCAGGUCGAGUAGACCAAGGCGCUUGAGAGAACUCUGCUGAAGGAACUAGGCAAAAUGGUACCGUAACUUCGGGAGAAGGUACGCUGUUGUUGGUGAUGGAACUCGCUUCCUGAGCUGACGACAGCCGCAGAAACCAGGCCGCUGCAACUGUUUAUUAAAAACAUAGCACUCUGCAAACACGAAAGUGGACGUAUAGGGUGUGAUGCCUGCCCGGUGCUGGAAGGUUAAUUGAUGGGGUUAGCGUAAGCGAAGCUCUUGAUCGAAGCCCCAGUAAACGGCGGCCGUAACUAUAACGGUCCUAAGGUAGCGAAAUUCCUUGUCGGGUAAGUUCCGACCUGCACGAAUGGCAUAAUGAUGGCGGCGCUGUCUCCAGCAGAGGCUCAGUGAAAUCGAAAUCGCUGUGAAGAUGCAGUGUACCCGCGGCUGACGGAAAGACCCCGUGAACCUUUACUGCAGCUUGACACUGAACUUUGACCUUACUUGUGGGAUAGGUGGGAGGCUUUGAAGCUGGAACGCUAGUUCCAGUGGAGCCGUCCUUGAAAUACCACCCUGGUAAUGUUGAGGUUCUAACUCUGUCCCGUGAUCCGGGACGAGGACCGUGUCUGGUGGGUAGUUUGACUGGGGCGGUCUCCUCCUAAAGAGUAACGGAGGAGUACGAAGGUGCGCUCAGCGUGGUCGGAAAUCACGCGUAGAGUAUAAAGGCAAAAGCGCGCUUAACUGCGAGACCCACAAGUCGAGCAGGUACGAAAGUAGGUCUUAGUGAUCCGGUGGUUCUGUAUGGAAGGGCCAUCGCUCAACGGAUAAAAGGUACUCUGGGGAUAACAGGCUGAUACCGCCCAAGAGUUCAUAUCGACGGCGGUGUUUGGCACCUCGAUGUCGGCUCAUCUCAUCCUGGGGCUGAAGCAGGUCCCAAGGGUAUGGCUGUUCGCCAUUUAAAGAGGUACGCGAGCUGGGUUUAGAACGUCGUGAGACAGUUCGGUCCCUAUCUACCGUGGGCGCUGGAAAUUUGAGAGGAUCUGCUCCUAGUACGAGAGGACCAGAGUGGACGAACCUCUGGUGUACCGGUUGUGACGCCAGUCGCAUCGCCGGGUAGCUAUGUUCGGAAGGGAUAACCGCUGAAAGCAUCUAAGCGGGAAGCCUACCUCAAGAUAAGAUUUCCCUAGGACUUUAUGUCCUCUAAAGAGCCGUUCGAGACUAGGACGUUGAUAGGUUGGAUGUGGAAGCAUAGUGAUAUGUGAAGCUGACCAAUACUAAUUGCUCGUGAGGCUUGACUA